AGAAAGGGUGGACUCAGAGUGGGGCCUCCCUGAGCUCAUAUAAGGGCUGAGCACUGAAGGGAGAGCAACUCUUGGACCUAGGCUGCUUCUUGCUGUGCAGUCAGAGAGCCUUUCCAUCAGCGGGAAUGGAUUCUCUGCAGCCUCCAUUAUAUGAACCCAGAUCUGUGACGUUCACCAUAAUGCUGGGCCCAUGCAGUGCUCAGAGGAGAUGAGUUUUCUGGCUGAGAGGGCUCUAAAACAGUGGGAUUGCGCUCUGGAAGCUCCUCGUGCAUUGUUGCUGCUCGAAAGUGGCUUGAUUCAGAGGCUUGAAGAGACUCAUCUGUACACAAGUGCUCUGGCCUGAUAAUUUUGGUACAGUGUUCUUGGGGAAAAAAAAACAAACAGUAGAAGGUUGAUUUUUAGGUUGUCUGAGUCGUGAUCUCUGGGUCAGAUUACCUGUUACUUGGAAGGAGUGCAGCAGUAUAAAAGGCAAAGGAAGAAACAGUUCUGCAUAGAAGCUGGGCACCGUAUUUUUGUUUUGGCAUUGAAUUUUAUGGCUUUGGCAAUAAAGUAGCAUUUCAUUAUCACUUGCCAUAUCGCAGACCCUGAGGGUCUGUUCUUAGUUCUGAUGCACUGUGUGUUUCUGUCACAGUAAGAGCUGUCCUUUGUAUAUUACACAAUAAAUAAUAUUCCUAGAAACCGCAUUUCAAAAAAUAAAGAAC